rnacentral:rRNA from 1 species
UACGUAGGGUGCAAGCGUUGUCCGGAAUUAUUGGGCGUAAAGAGCUUGUAGGCGGUUUGUCGCGUCUGCUGUGAAAUUUCGGGGCUCAACCCCGAACUUGCAGUGGGUACGGGCAGACUAGAGUGUGGUAGGGGAGACUGGAAUUCCUGGUGUAGCGGUGAAAUGCGCAGAUAUCAGGAGGAACACCGAUGGCGAAGGCAGGUCUCUGGGCCAUAACUGACGCUGAGAAGCGAAAGCGUGGGGAGCGAACGGG